GCUCAGCUGGCCCAGUCAGUAGAGCGUGGGACUUCUGAUCUCAGGGUCAUGAGUUCAAGCCCCACAUUGGGCA
rnacentral:tRNA from 1 species